rnacentral:rRNA from 1 species
UACGGAGGGGGCUAGCGUUGUUCGGAAUUACUGGGCGUAAAGCGCACGUAGGCGGCUUUGUAAGUUAGAGGUGAAAGCCCAGGGCUUAACCCUGGAAUUGCCUUUAAGACUGCAUCGCUAGAAUCGUGGAGAGGUGAGUGGAAUUCCGAGUGUAGAGGUGAAAUUCGAUAGAUAUUCGGAAGAACACCAGUGGCGAAGGCGA